rnacentral:rRNA from 1 species
ACACUGUGGGACCGCCGCUGCUAAAGCGGAGGAAGGAACUUGGGCAACGGUAGGUCAGUAUGCCCCGAAUAUCCCGGGCUACACGCGAGCUACAAUGGUUGGUACAAUGGGGUAUCUACCCCGAAAGGGGACGGGAAUCUCCUAAAACCAAUCUUAGUUCGGAUUGAGGGCUGCAACUCGCCCUCAUGAAGCUGGAAUCCGUAGUAAUCGCGUUUUCAACAGAACGCGGUGAAUACGUCCCUGCUCCUU